UACGUAGGGUGCGAGCGUUGUCCGGAAUUACUGGGCGUAAAGGGCUUGUAGGUGGUUUGUCGCGUUGUUCGUGAAAUCCCGUGGCUUAACUGCGGGCGUGCGGGCGAUACGGGCAGACUGGAGUACUGCAGGGGAGACUGGAAUUCCUGGUGUAGCGGUGAAAUGCGCAGAUAUCAGGAGGAACACCGAUGGCGAAGGCAGGUCUCUGGGCCAUAACUGACGCUGAGAAGCGAAAGCAUGGGGAGCGAACAGG
rnacentral:rRNA from 1 species